AUUGAACGCUGGCGGCAUGCCUUACACAUGCAAGUCGAACGGCAGCGGGGACUUUGGUCCGCCGGCGAGUGGCGAACGGGUGAGUAAAGUAUCGGAACGUACCUUUCAGUGGGGGAUAACGUAGCGAAAGUUACGCUAAUACCGCAUAUUCUGUGAGCAGGAAAGCAGGGGAUCGCAAGACCUUGCGCUGAUUGAGCGGCCGACAUCAGAGUAGCUAGUUGGUGAGGUAAAGGCUCACCAAGGCGACGAUCUGUAGCGGGUCUGAGAGGAUGAUCCGCCACACUGGAACUGAGACACGGUCCAGACUCCUACGGGAGGCAGCAGUGGGGAAUUUUGGACAAUGGGGGCAACCCUGAUCCAGCCAUGCCGCGUGAGUGAAGAAGGCCUUCGGGUUGUAAAGCUCUUUCGGCCGGGAAGAAAUCGUAUGGGUUAAUACCCUGUGCGGAUGACGGUACCGGCAUAAGAAGCACCGGCUAACUACGUGCCAGCAGCCGCGGUAAUAC
rnacentral:rRNA from 1 species